AUUGAACGCUGGCGGCAGGCCUAACACAUGCAAGUCGAGCGGAUGAAGGGAGCUUGCUCCUGGAUUCAGCGGCGGACGGGUGAGUAAUGCCUAGGAAUCUGCCUGGUAGUGGGGGAUAACGUCCGGAAACGGGCGCUAAUACCGCAUACGUCCUGAGGGAGAAAGUGGGGGAUCUUCGGACCUCACGCUAUCAGAUGAGCCUAGGUCGGAUUAGCUAGUUGGUGGGGUAAAGGCCUACCAAGGCGACGAUCCGUAACUGGUCUGAGAGGAUGAUCAGUCACACGGGAACUGAGACACGGACCAGACUCCUACGGGAGGCAGCAGUGGGGAAUAUUGGACAAUGGGCGAAAGCCUGAUCCAGCCAUGCCGCGUGUGUGAAGAAGGUCUUCGGAUUGUAAAGCACUUUAAGUUGGGAGGAAGGGCAGUAAGUUAAUACCUUGCUGUUUUGACGUUACCAACAGAAUAAGCACCGGCUAACUUCGUG
rnacentral:rRNA from 1 species